CCUACGGGAGGCAGCAGUGAGGAAUAUUGGUCAAUGGACGAGAGUCUGAACCAGCCAAGUAGCGUGAAGGAUGACUGCCCUAUGGGUUGUAAACUUCUUUUAUAAAGGAAUAAAACGAGGCACGUGUGCCUUUUUGUAUGUACUUUAUGAAUAAGGAUCGGCUAACUCCGUGCCAGCAGCCGCGGUAAUAUGGAGGAUCCGAGCGUUAUCCGGAUUUAUUGGGUUUAAGGGGAGCGUAGAUGGGUUGUUAAGUCAGUUGUGAAAGUUUGCGGCUCAACCGUAAAAUUGCAAUUGAGACUGGCAGUCUUGAGUACAGUUGAGGUAGGCGGAAUUCGUGGUGUAGCGGUGAAAUGCUUAGAUAUCACGAAGAACCCCGAUUGCGAAGGCAGCUUACUAAACUGUGACUGACAUUGAUGCUCGAAAGUGUGGGUAUCAAACAGGAUUAGAUACCCGUGUAGUC
rnacentral:rRNA from 1 species